UUCAAUAUAGUGAUCUAGGCUGCAAGAAGGCUCUUUGGGAUCCAAAGCUCCAAUGGUGAUAUUUUUGAGGGAUGCAGUAUUGGGGAUAAUUUCAUCAAAGCCAUCUGCUGUGACAAACAGAUCCGUGGCGGUUACAUCCGUGGUGAAGGGGUAAUCAUUAAUGUUUCCACCCUUUGGAUAACUUUUUUGCUUCGAAAAUUUUAUCUUUAUUAGUUAUGCCCCAAAUUAAGCUGGGUUGGUCUACAGAUAUUUGUUAAUCAUGAUGCCUUAAUUGAAAUUCUGUUGUCUUUUUGGUGCAAUGUCACUACUUAUAAUGCUUGGUUGGCAACUUGAAUCGAACAUGUUUCUGUGACAAAGUGAGCCAAUUGUCAACACUUAUUUACAGAUUUACUGUAUUAAAUUGCAUUACAUCGUGAUGAUCUAUCUGUUCACUUUCAACUUCUUACCCUUAUUUAUCGCUUUUGUCCUCAGGUCUUCGAGGGGAUCUAUCUAGAGAUUUAGAUGAGUCUUUGAUGCAAAUUGCAAGGACUAUAGAAAAUGCAGUGUCACCGGUAAAAGUUUACCUUGCAUUUCCCCCCUUAAUUCGUUUUUUCUUAUCUAUUUUUUGGUUUCUAAAAAAUUAUUGUUGUCUACUUUUUCACUAAACUCUGUGCGUUGAUGAAGGUGAUUUUUCCCUUCCUUUUUCUAGGUACGCACGUCAUGCAUAAAAUUAGUGCAAAGAAAAUAGGAAGGUUGGUGACUAGCUAGGAGUAACCACACAGGUCACGAAUUCUUCAUUACAAAAGUGCUUUACACUCAGAGUUUGGUGCUAGCAUGGGGGCAUUGAUGCAUUCUGACCAUGAUUACUAUUGUUUUUGGAGGCUUUUCUUUGGUCAUGACGGUAUUGUUGUCAAUUGAAUUAGUGGUUUGCUUUGCGAUGAUAUUGAUUUUUAUAUUCCUAAAUGUGUGUGGCUUGGUGUAUGACCUAUGUAGUUGUAUAUGUCUUCCAGUUCUUUGUUGAUACAAAUCUUGCUUAUCCACAAUGAAGGCUUUACUACUUAUUAUGAGGAAUUUGUGUGAGACUGGUUGUUGGUCAGAUUUUGAUUUGCUAAAUUAUGAUCAAUAUAGUUGCAGUUCUGAUCAAAAUUCCACCCAAAACCUUUUUAUUUUCCUGAAACGUGCUUCCUUUUUGAUAAUUCAGAUGUUCAUGCCAAU